rnacentral:rRNA from 1 species
GAUGAACGCUGGCGGCGUGCUUAACACAUGCAAGUCGAACGAUGAAGCCCAGCUUGCUGGGUGGAUUAGUGGCGAACGGGUGAGUAACACGUGAGUAACCUGCCCUUAACUCUGGGAUAAGCCUGGGAAACUGGGUCUAAUACCGGAUAGGAGCGUCCACCGCAUGGUGGGUGUUGGAAAGAUUUAUCGGUUUUGGAUGGACUCGCGGCCUAUCAGCUUGUUGGUGAGGUAAUGGCUCACGAAGGCGACGACGGGUAGCCGGCCUGAGAGGGUGACCGGCCACACUGGGACUGAGACAGGGCCCAGACUCCUACGGGAGGCAGCAGUGGGGAAUAUUGCACAAUGGGCGCAAGCCUGAUGCAGCGAAGCCGAGUGAGGGAUGACGGCCUUCGGGUUGUAAACCUCUUGCAGUAGGGAAGAAGAGAAAGUGACGGUACCUGCAGAAGAAGCACCGGCUAACUACGU